rnacentral:rRNA from 1 species
GACGAACGCUGGCGGCGUGCCUAAUACAUGCAAGUUGAGCGCUGAAGGUUGGUACUUGUACCGACUGGAUGAGCAGCGAACGGGUGAGUAACGCGUGGGGAAUCUGCCUUUGAGCGGGGGACAACAUUUGGAAACGAAUGCUAAUACCGCAUAAAAACUUUAAACACAAGUUUUAAGUUUGAAAGAUGCAAUUGCAUCACUCAAAGAUGAUCCCGCGUUGUAUUAGCUAGUUGGUGAGGUAAAGGCUCACCAAGGCGAUGAUACAUAGCCGACCUGAGAGGGUGAUCGGCCACAUUGGGACUGAGACACGGCCCAAACUCCUACGGGAGGCAGCAGUAGGGAAUCUUCGGCAAUGGACGAAAGUCUGACCGAGCAACGCCGCGUGAGUGAAGAAGGUUUUCGGAUCGUAAAACUCUGUUGGUAGAGAAGAACGUUGGUGAGAGUGGAAAGCUCAUCAAGUGACGGUAACUACCCAGAAAAGGACGGCUAACUACGU